GACGAACGCUGGCGGCGUGCUUAACACAUGCAAGUCGAGCGGUAAGGCCCUUUCGGGGGUACACGAGCGGCGAACGGGUGAGUAACACGUGGGUGACCUGCCCUUAGCUCUGGGAUAAGCCUGGGAAACUGGGUCUAAUACCGGAUAUGACUCCAUGACGCAUGUUGUGGGGUGGAAAGCCUUGUGCGGCUAGGGAUGGGCCCGCGGCCUAUCAGCUUGUUGGUGGGGUGAUGGCCUACCAAGGCGACGACGGGUAGCCGGCCUGAGAGGGCGACCGGCCACACUGGGACUGAGACACGGCCCAGACUCCUACGGGAGGCAGCAGGUGGGGAAUCUUGCGCAAUGGGCGAAAGCCUGACGCAGCGACGCCGCGUGAGGGAU
rnacentral:rRNA from 1 species